AUCUUAAAAAAAAAAUCUUAAAAAAAAAAAAAACUGUUAAAAAAAAAAAGAAAGACCCCCUGGGUAGGAAGAUCCAGCUGACACAGAACACCUGAGUGAGUCUGAAAUGACUGAGAAAACAGACGCUGGAGGAACAUCUGGGGACACACCUGGAGAGGCAGGGCAGCUGGCGUGAGAUUAGUAAGUAUGUGGAUUUAGGAGUCAGUCUGUCUGGGUUUAAAAUACUUGAAAUAGGGGCAGCCCUGGUGGCUCAGCGGCUUAAGUGCCACCUCCAGCCUGGGGUGUGAUCCUGGAGACCCGGGAUGGAGUCCUGCAUCGGGCUCCCUGCGAGGAGCCUGCUUCUCUCUCUGCCUCCCUCUCUGUGUCUGUCAUGGAUAAAUAAAUUUUUAAAAUCUUAAAAAAAGAAUACUCGAAAUAAAGAGAAACACUGUAUAGGGACAAAAGGGUCAAUCCAUCAGAAAGAUAGAAACAAAAAAAAAAAAAGAAAGAUAGAAACAUUUUAAAUGUAUCUGUACCUGACAAAAGAGCACCAAAAUAUAUAAGGUAAAAACUGAAAGGUUUUGAAGGGAAAGGUAGACAAUUCAACAAUCCACACUGCUCUUGCUGUUCCCCAAAGCUCAUUUCUGUCUCAGGGUCUCUGCUCUUGAUAUGUCCCCUGCCCGCAAUAGCCCUCUAAAGAUCCACCCAUGGCUGGAGUCUCUAAUUCACUGAAGAUUUCUAGUCCAUGUCACCUCCUGAGGUGGCAUUCCUCUAACCAACUUAUCCACAGCAGCUCAACCUCUCACUCCCUAUGCCAGUACUCUUUUUUUUUUUUCUAUGCCAGUACUCUGAUUUAUUUUUCUUCUGAGCAUUUAUCUCAGAAGCAUUUAUCUUCUGACAUCACCUGCCUAUGGCCUGUUUCCCUUCAUUUGAAUGUAAUCUCCCUGUGGUGAGGAUUUUGCUUAAUAUACUGCUUUUUAUUCCCAUUGCCUAGAUGAGAACCUGGCACACAGAAUGUGCUCAAGAAACAUCUGUUGAAGUGGAAGACAAAGUUCAGUAAUAGGACACACAGAUAAAUGGAUCAGGGAUUUGGUACAGGGAUAAAGGGAACACCUCCAACCAAAGGGAGAAAGGUAGACUAGUUGACCCAGGGAGAUGGCACCACUGGGAAGCCACAUGAGAAAAAAAUAAGGUUGAAGCAGGUGGAUUUAUGUCAAGUAUGUAACAUGACUCCUUUUAAAACUCUACUUUCAAAAUGCAAAAACCCAGAAGAAAAUGGAGAAGAGAAGAGGGAACCCACAGCGAAAUUUUUGAGGCUGGAAAGAAACGGACAAGUACUAUCAGACGGCAACACCACGCAGGCAAUAUGAAAAACUGACAGUUUCGCCUGAUUUAUACCGAAGAAUCCUCAAAAGGCUCAGAAAUUAGUGGUAGGAAAAACUGGUAGAAGAGGGUUUAAGAAACGGCUCAAAAACUCCAAAGAGUAGACACCUAGAUCUCCUCCCUACAUUACCCACCUUGUCCCCUCAUGGAGGACAGACUCUGGCAGAUCAGAAAUGUUUUUUUAGGAGAGAGUAAAGAAGGUCCCUGGACAGGUAGACAGAGGGCACAGAAGAUGGAGAAGGUACCAGCAACAGAGGGAUUAUACAAAAGUCCACAUAUUAACUGUUGAGGAUGUCCAGAACCUCAGCCCUCUUGCUCCACCCAGCUCCUGGAACACUGCCAGAGAGGCACAGCGCUCACAGUACUAAUAGGGAAACCUGCCCCUGGGCUUUCAUGCCCCACUCAACAACCAGAACUCCCAGCAAAAUGGCAAAAAGGGACCCUUCUCAAGGCAUUCCAUCAAGGAACUCCAGUCCACUAAGGAUGAGAGGAGAUUCUAGAACUUUCUACAGAAGAAAAAGUAGGUCAUAUGCACAGAAUCAGUAUUCAGAAUGACUCAGGACUUCCCAAUUGCAAUACUGAAAGCUGAGAGACAGAAAAGUAAUGCCUUCAAAAUCUGACGAAGCUUCUAGAUAUAUAACCAAAUUGAAAACAGGGCCUUAAAAAAAAAAAAGAAAACAGGGCCUAGAACAGAUAUUUGUACACCACAUUCACAGCAGCAGUAUUCACCAACAACCAAAAGGUGGAAAGAACCCAAGCAUCUACUGAUGGAUGAAUGGAUAAACAAAAUGUGGUCUAUCCAUACUACAUAAGAGGUAAGAUAAGAGGUAAUCCACCCCCCCCCAAAUAACCAGGAAGCUUUUCAAAUGCAAAGAGAAAGGUCUCUAAGAUAUGCUGUUAACUGAAAAAGGCAAAGUGAAGAACAGUGCGUGAAGUAUCAUUCACCUACUGACCUCCUUCAAAGGUUUUCUUUCAGUGUCAAAACCAGAAUAAAGGGCAUCCCUGGGUGGCUCAGUGGUUUGGCGCCUGCCUUCGGCCCAGGGCGUGAUCCUGGAGUCCCAGAUCGAGUCCCACAUCGGGCUCCCUGCGUGGAGCCUGCUUCUCCCUCUGCCUGUGUCUCUGCCUCUCUCUGUCUCUGUAUCUCUCAUGAAUAAAUAAAUGAAAUCUUAAAAAAAAA
rnacentral:lncRNA from 1 species